UGGGGAAUAUUGCACAAUGGGCGCAAGCCUGAUGCAGCCAUGCCGCGUGUGUGAAGAAGGCCUUCGGGUUGUAAAGCACUUUCAGCGGGGAGGAAGGCGAUAAGGUUAAUAACCUUGUCGAUUGACGUUACCCGCAGAAGAAGCACCGGCUAACUCCGUGCCAGCAGCCGCGGUAAUACGGAGGGUGCAAGCGUUAAUCGGAAUUACUGGGCGUAAAGCGCACGCAGGCGGUCUGUCAAGUCGGAUGUGAAAUCCCCGGGCUUAACCUGGGAACUGCAUUCGAAACUGGCAGGCUAGAGUCUUGUAGAGGGGGGUAGAAUUCCAGGUGUAGCGGUGAAAUGCGUAGAGAUGUGGAGGAAUACCGGUGGCAAAGGCGGCCCCCUGGACAAAGCCUAACGCUCAGGUGCAAAGGCGUGGGAGCAAACAGG
rnacentral:rRNA from 1 species